UACGUAGGGGGCAAGCGUUAUCCGGAUUUACUGGGUGUAAAGGGUGCGUAGGUGGCUGAGUAAGUCAGAUGUGAAAACCCGGGGCUUAACUCCGGGACUGCAUUUGAAACUGCCUGGCUAGAGUGCAGGAGAGGUAAGUGGAAUUCCUAGUGUAGCGGUGAAAUGCGUAGAUAUUAGGAGGAACACCAGUGGCGAAGGCGGCUUACUGGACUGUAACUGACACUGAGGCACGAAAGCGUGGGGAGCAAACAGG
rnacentral:rRNA from 1 species